GAUGAACGCUGGCGGCGUGCUUAACACAUGCAAGUCGAACGAUGAAGCCCAGCUUGCUGGGUGGAUUAGUGGCGAACGGGUGAGUAACACGUGAGCAACCUGCCCCUGACUCUGGGAUAAGCGCUGGAAACGGCGUCUAAUACUGGAUAUGUCCCGUCACCGCAUGGUGUGCGGGUGGAAAGAUUUUUCGGUUGGGGAUGGGCUCGCGGCCCAUCAGCUUGUUGGUGAGGUAAUGGCUCACCAAGGCGUCGACGGGUAGCCGGCCUGAGAGGGUGACCGGCCACACUGGGACUGAGACACGGCCCAGACUCCUACGGGAGGCAGCAGUGGGGAAUAUUGCACAAUGGGCGGAAGCCUGAUGCAGCAACGCCGCGUGAGGGAUGACGGCCUUCGGGUUGUAAACCUCUUUUAGCAGGGAAGAAGCGAAAGUGACGGUACCUGCAGAAAAAGCACCGGCUAACUACGUG
rnacentral:rRNA from 1 species